rnacentral:rRNA from 1 species
ACGAACGCUGGCGGCGUGCCUAAUACAUGCAAGUAGAACGCUGAAGGAAGGAGCUUGCUCUUUCUGGAUGAGUUGCGAACGGGUGAGUAACGCGUAGGUAACCUGCCUGGUAGCGGGGGAUAACUAUUGGAAACGAUAGCUAAUACCGCAUAAAAUUGAUUAUUGCAUGAUAGUCAAUUAAAAGGUGCAACUGCACCACUACCAGAUGGACCUGCGUUGUAUUAGCUAGUUGGUGGGGUAACGGCUCACCAAGGCGACGAUACAUAGCCGACCUGAGAGGGUGAUCGGCCACACUGGGACUGAGACACGGCCCAGACUCCUACGGGAGGCAGCAGUAGGGAAUCUUCGGCAAUGGACGGAAGUCUGACCGAGCAACGCCGCGUGAGUGAAGAAGGUUUUCGGAUCGUAAAGCUCUGUUGUAAGAGAAGAACGAGUGUGAGAGUGGAAAGUUCACACUGUGACGGUAUCUUACCAGAAAGGGGCGGCUAACUACGUG